GAUGCUUUUUUUUCUCCUACUGACCUUUGGCGGACUCUGUAAAAUACAAACAGGUAUUUCAGUUAAAAACUUAAAGACAAACAAACAAACUAAACAGCUGAAGCAGGUCAAAAUAGGUAAAUGUUUUUCAAAGAAUUAAGAUCUCAAAGUAUUUUAUAUGAAAAAUAAACAUUUUGAAAAUCAUUACAAAACUUAAAACUGCCAGCAGCCUCUCCUGGAUGAGCUGAACGUUCUGACGAAUGAAAAACAGCUAAAACAGCUAAAACAGCUCACAGUCUGUGACGUAGUUCCUGCAGAUGGUAAAUAAAAUGUACGUCAUCUCUGCAGAACUUAAAGAAAUGUAAAGAUUUGUCUGUUUUCGUGCUGUUGGGAUCAUUUCAGACGACCGCAGCCAAACUAAAACACAAUAUUUACUCAGUAGUUGCUGAGUUGGAACUACCUAAAAGCAAAUUGUUACCUCAGAUUUUUGUUUCAUGUUGAGCCAAUGUUUUUUUUAGAGCGUAGUCCAAAACCUCAUGUCUCAUUUAGUAAAUGUUUGCCUCAGUUCCUCGUGUUGUGCAGGAACUUUCCUGUUCUAAAAGUUAAUAACUUCUUUCUCUGUUUGCUCUCCGGAGCUGGUGGAGUUUGGGCCGUGAGAGAGCAAAUUCCUUGUUUUUUCCCUGAAAGUGUUUUCCCAGCCUGCAGCUCUCUGCAGCCCGAGUUAAUGUUUACACCCGGACUGACUCUGCUGUUUUAAGCACUGCUGGAUAAACAGCAGCCAUCCACACUGUUAGCUCAUCAAUCCUUAGAAGCGAUUGGUUUCUGAGAAAAAAAAGAAAGGAUGAAAGCUGAUUGGCCGAGGAGCAAAGAGGUGCUGCGUUUUCACACCGUCUUUGAUUUAUGUCUUCACUCUGGCUGAACCUCGAGUCGGGUUCCUGUUUCUUUCUCCUCCUCUCUUUUGUCCCUGGUUCUGUACUUUUCUGCCGUUCUUCCAGUUGGUCCCUCAGAUGUUCGCCUGGUUCUGACGUCACGAUGAGGCUGACUGUCAGAGGAGCUGAAGAGCCAAGGUCAGAGGUUUCAUCCUCAUCGUGGCGUAAACUGAUUAUUCCUCAGCAGAGCCUCCAAAUGUGGACGAAAAUAUGAAAACAUUUCUUUUUUUUUAGCAGACAUGAGCGAUAAUGGUGUCGCCUCUCUAGCCUGCACCACCUGGCCUCACUUUAGCUUCAGGGUUCAGGGUAAAGAGCAGGAGUGUGAUUUGUUGUCGUCGCCGUGAGUUCAGCUCAGGCAGAGGAGGAGCGUCUCGGUGUGAACAUCCAGAGUUCUCAGCGCUCAGUUUUUGGAAGGGCGGAUGGACGUGAAACUCGUAGAGAAGACGCCGUUGCUCAACAGCGUGAUUAGGACUUGCAGGAGCGGAACGAUGCGGUGGACUAAAAUCUAAAUGUGUCAGUCUGCGCUCCGGUGGUGGGCAUGCUGCAACCUGAAGCCUCACUCAUUCCCGCUCCUUCACUCCGUCACCAMGCAGGAAAAUAUGUAAACAGAGGGAAAACCUCUGUAGAGCURUGGUGUGUCCACACUGCUGUCUGGUUGUUUGUCUCCGGUCUCGGUUCGUCUGGAUGUAGAGCAGAGGCAGUCGGACGGGGUUAAAGGUCAGGGUCCUCUCUUCCUCGAGAGACUUCUCAGCUCAAAUUAGGGSCCACAUUCGCGGUCAAGCUGGUUAACCUCGGCCCACCUUGUCGUCCUUUAAGAAAGCAGGAGCUCCUCGGCAGUGCUGGCUCUAGCCAUUUUGGUGCCCUAGGUGAGUUGAAGCCCCCCUCCCCCGAGCUAUGUCCCACC